UACGUAGGGUGCAAGCGUUGUCCGGAAUUAUUGGGCGUAAAGAGCUCGUAGGCGGUUUGUCGCGUCGGCUGUGAAAACCUGGGGCUCAACCCCCGGGCCUGCAGCCGAUACGGGCAAACUAGAAUUCGGUAGGGGAGACUGGGAAUUCCUGGUGUAGCGGUGAAAUGCGCAGAUAUCAGGAGGAACACCGGUGGCGAAGGCGGGUCUCUGGGCCGAUAUUGACGCUGGAGGAGCGAAAAGCGUGGGGGAGCAAACAGG
rnacentral:rRNA from 1 species